GACGAACGCUGGCGGCGUGCUUAACACAUGCAAGUCGAACGGUGAAGCGCCUUCCUUUUUGGUGGGUGUGGAUGAGUGGCGAACGGGUGAGUAACACGUGAGUAACCUGCCCCCUUCUUCUGGAUAACCGCAUGAAAGUGUGGCUAAUACGGGAUAUUCUGGGUCUGUCGCAUGAUGGGUCUGGGAAAGAUAUUGUUUCGGUGGGGGAUGGGCUCGCGGCCUAUCAGCUUGUUGGUGGGGUGAUGGCUUACCAAGGCGGUGACGGGUAGCCGGCCUGAGAGGGUGGACGGUCACACUGGGACUGAGACACGGCCCAGACUCCUACGGGAGGCAGCAGUGGGGAAUAUUGCACAAUGGGCGCAAGCCUGAUGCAGCGACGCCGCGUGAGGGAUGGAGGCCUUCGGGUUGUGAACCUCUUUCGCCAGUGAAGCAGGCCUGCCUCGUUUGUGGGUGGGUUGACGGUAGCUGGAUAAGAAGCGCCGGCUAACUACGUG
rnacentral:rRNA from 1 species